UUUUGUGCCAAGGCAGCCGCGGUAAUCCCAGCKCCMWUWGYGWRURUYWRAGUURUUGUGGUUAWAMAGCUCGUAGUUGAACYUUGGGCCUGGCUGGCCGGUCCGCCUCACCGCGUGUACUGGUCCGGCCGGGCCUUUCCCUCUGUGGAACCCCAUGCCCUUCACUGGGUGUGGCGGGGAAACAGGACUUUUACUGUGAAAAAAUUAGAGUGCUCCAGGCAGGCCUAUGCUCGAAUACAUUAGCAUGGAAUAAUAGAAUAGGACGUGUGGUUCUAUUUUGUUGGUUUCUAGGACCGCCGUAAUGAUUAAUAGGGACAGUCGGGGGCAUCAGUAUUCAAUUGUCAGAGGUGAAAUUCUUGGAUUUAUUGAAGACUAACUACUGCGAAAGCAUUUGCCAAGGAUGUUUUCAUUAAUCAGGAACGAAAGUUAGGGGAUCGAAGACGAUCAGAUACCGUCGUAGUCUUAACCAUAAACUAUGCCGACUAGGGAUCGGACGAUGUUAUAUUUUGACUCGUUCGGCACCUUACGAGAAAUCAAAGUGCUUGGGCUCCAGGGGGAGUAUGGUCGCAAGGCUGAAACUUAAAGAAAUUGACGGAAGGGCACCACCAGGGGUGGAGCCUGCGGCUUAAUUUGACUCAACACSGGGAAACUCACCAGGUCCASACACAAUGAGGAUUGACAGAUUGAGAGCUCUUUCUUGWUUUUGUGGGUGGUGGUGCWUSRCSGGCUUYUAUAAGKUGGGUGGARUKWUUUUUUGUCKGSUUUAAKUGSAGAUAAMSAAMRAGAACCCCUURACCYGGCURAAUAGCCCGUAUUGCUUUGGCAGUACGCUGGCUUCUUAGAAGUACUCUCGCCUCAAGCCCCGCAGC
rnacentral:rRNA from 1 species